GACGAACGCUGGCGGCGUGCUUAACACAUGCAAGUCGAACGGAAAGGCCCUGCUUUUGUGGGGUGCUCGAGUGGCGAACGGGUGAGUAACACGUGAGUAACCUGCCCUUGACUUUGGGAUAACUUCAGGAAACUGGGGCUAAUACCGGAUAGGAGCUCCUGCUGCAUGGUGGGGGUUGGAAAGUUUCGGCGGUUGGGGAUGGACUCGCGGCUUAUCAGCUUGUUGGUGGGGUAGUGGCUUACCAAGGCUUUGACGGGUAGCCGGCCUGAGAGGGUGACCGGCCACAUUGGGACUGAAAUACGGCCCAGACUCCUACGGGAGGCAGCAGUGGGGAAUAUUGCACAAUGGGCGGAAGCCUGAUGCAGCAACGCCGCGUGCGGGAGGACGGCCUUCGGGUGGUAAACCGCUUUCGCCUGUGACGAAGCGUGAGUGACGGUAAUGGGUAAAGAAGCACCGGCUAACUACGUG
rnacentral:rRNA from 1 species